rnacentral:rRNA from 1 species
AUUGAACGCUGGCGGCAGGCCUAACACAUGCAAGUCGAACGGUAACAGGAAGAAGCUUGCUUCUUUGCUGACGAGUGGCGGACGGGUGAGUAAUGUCUGGGAAACUGCCUGAUGGAGGGGGAUAACUACUGGAAACGGUAGCUAAUACCGCAUAAUGUCGCAAGACCAAAGAGGGGGACCUUCGGGCCUCUUGCCAUCGGAUGUGCCCAGAUGGGAUUAGCUAGUAGGUGGGGUAACGGCUCACCUAGGCGACGAUCCCUAGCUGGUCUGAGAGGAUGACCAGCCACACUGGAACUGAGACACGGUCCAGGCUCCUACGGGAGGCAGCAGUGGGGAAUAUUGCACAAUGGGCGCAAGCCUGAUGCAGCUAUGCCGCGUGUAUGAAGAAGGCCUUCGGGUUGUAAAGUACUUUCAGCGGGGAGGAAGGGAGUAAAGUUAAUACCUUUGCUCAUUGACGUUACCCGCAGAAGAAGCACCGGCUAACUCCGUG